rnacentral:rRNA from 1 species
GUCAGUGAUUCUAACGCAGAGGGUCCACCCGUUCCCAUUCCGAACACGGAAGUUAAGCUCUGCAGUGGCAACAAUACUUGUCUGGAGACGGACCGGGAAGAUAGCUCAUUGCUGACA